rnacentral:rRNA from 1 species
GAUGAACGCUAGCGGCAGGCUUAAUACAUGCAAGUCGAGGGGCAGCAUAGGUAGCAAUACUUGAUGGCGACCGGCAAACGGGUGCGGAACACGUACAGAACCUUCCUUCGAGCGGGGAAUAGCCCGGAGAAAUCCGGAUUAAUACCCCAUAGUAAAUUGAAAAGGCAUCUUUUUAAUUUUAAAGUAUUAUUCACUUGAGAUGGCUGUGCGCCUGAUUAGGUAGUUGGCGGAGUAANAGCCCACCAAGCCUGCGAUCAGUAACUGGUGUGAGAGCACGACCAGUCACACGGGCACUGAGACACGGGCCCGACUCCUACGGGAGGCAGCAGUAAGGAAUAUUGGUCAAUGGACGCAAGUCUGAACCAGCCAUGCCGCGUGGAGGAUGAAGGUCCUCUGGAUUGUAAACUUCUUUUAUUUGGGAAGAAAUGCUAUUUUUUCUAAAGUGC